GACGGCACCCCUAUGGGGUUUAAAAGGGAACACGGUACGACAAUUGGUUGUCAAGGCCGUGGCUGUAUCCGCAACUGUGAACGGCUAGUUUGUCUUCAUUAUUGCCACUGAGCUAAGGCUUGGGAAGGUCUGAAGAUUAACGGCGAACCGUGAGCCAGGAGACCUGCUGUCUA
rnacentral:ncRNA from 1 species